rnacentral:rRNA from 1 species
AUUGAACGCUGGCGGCAGGCCUAACACAUGCAAGUCGAGCGGAGCGGCGGACGGGUGAGUAAUGCCUAGGCAUCUGCAUGGUAGUGGGGGAUAACGUCCGGAAACGGGAGCUAAUACCGCAUACUAUCAGAUGAGCCUAGGUCGGAGUAGCUAGUGGGGGGGGUAAAGGCAUAGAAAGGCGACGCUCCGGAACUGGGCUGAGAGGAUGACCAUCCAAACUGGAACUGAGACACGGUCGAGACUCAUAGGGGAGGAAGCAGUGGGGAAUAUUGCACAAUGGGCGCAAGCCUGAUGCAGCCAUGCCGCGUGUAUGAAGAAGGCCUUCGGGUUGUAAAGUACUUUCAGCGGGGAGGCGUUACCCGCAGAAGAAGCACCGGCUAACUCCGUGCCAGCAGCCGCGGUAAUUC